GAUGAACGCUGGCGGCGUGCUUAACACAUGCAAGUCGAGCGAAGCGGUAAAGUGGAUUUCUUCGGAAAGAAGCUUUGCUGACUUAGCGGCGGACGGGUGAGUAACGCGUGGGUAACCUGCCUCAUACAGGGGGAUAACAGUUAGAAAUGACUGCUAAUACCGCAUAAGCGCACGGGACUGCAUGGUCCAGUGUGAAAAACCGAGGUGGUAUGAGAUGGACCCGCGUCUGAUUAGCUGGUUGGCGGGGUAACGGCCCACCAAGGCGACGAUCAGUAGCCGACCUGAGAGGGUGGCCGGCCACAUUGGGACUGAGACACGGCCCAA
rnacentral:rRNA from 1 species